rnacentral:rRNA from 1 species
AAAGAUCUAAGUAAAUUUUAAAGUUCUUGUAUCAAAAAGAUUUUAGAAGUUUAUUUAGGUGUGAAAUUCUAAUCGCUUUUAUUAAUAUCUAGUAACUUCAGAAAUAAAUUUAGUUUAGAACAUUAAGAAAUUCUUUAUUUUUAAGAAAUUUUAAAUAUGUUUUUAGGUUUUAGGGGAUGAGCUCUAAAGCCAAUAUAAAAGGUCAAAUCUGUUUAUUUUUUCCAUAGGCUUAGAAUUAGCCAUAAGAUAGUGUUAUAAAAUAAAAUUUAAAGUUUAAGAUUUUAUUUCCUUUUUAAUUUAUGAAGUUUAUUUAAAAAUUUAUUUUUAAAUGAAAAUAUGAUAACAUUAGUAGAUAAUAUAUAUAGUAGAAAAAUAAUGAAUUUUCUAUUACAUUUUUAAUUUGAAUAAAUUUAAUAAAAGAACUCGGCAAAUAAAAUUUCCGAAUGUUUAACAAAAACAUUUCCUUCUAGUUUAGAAGGUAAGGCCUGCUCACUGAAAUUUAAAGAGCCGCAGUAUCCUAACUGUGCUAAGGUAGCAUAAUCAUUAGUCUUUUAAUUGGAGACUGGUAUGAAUGGCUAAACGAGAAAUUGACUUUUUUUGUUAUAAAAAUUGAAUUUAAUUUUUUAGUGAAAAAGCUAAAAUUUUUCAGAAAGACGAGAAGACCCUAUAGAGUUUUAUAUUUAAAGGUAUAUUUUCUAAUUAGAUUUUCAUAGAUUAUAUAUUACAGAAUAUUUUGUUGGGGCGACAUUAAGAUAUAAAAAACUCUUUAUUUUUUAAAUUUUUAUAAAAAACCUUUUUGAUCCUCUAA